rnacentral:rRNA from 1 species
UACAGAGGGUGCGAGCGUUAAUCGGAAUACUGGGCGUAAAGCGUGCGCAGACGGUUGCGUAAGUCAGAUGUGAAAGCCCCGGGCUCAACCUGGGAAUUGCAUUUGAGACUGCGUAGCUAGGGUGCGGAAGAGGGAAGCGGAAUUUCCGGUGUAGCGGUGAAAUGCGUAGAUAUCGGAAGGAACACCAGUGGCGAAAGCGGCUUCCUGGUCCAGCACCGACGUUCAGGCACGAAAGCGUGGGGAGCAAACAGG